GUUUUCAAGAUUGGAACGGGUUGUCGCUGGCCUUUCACGAGGCAUGUGCACACCCUGCUCAUCCACUCUCAACCUCUGUGCACUUAUUGUAGGUCGGUGGAAGGCUCGCAAGAGCUGGAAGCCUGCUUAUGUUUUACUACAAACGCUUCAGUUAUAGAAUGUUUACUUGCGUAUAACGCAUUUAUAUACAACUUUCAGCAACGGAUCUCUUGGCUCUCGCAUCGAUGAAGAACGCAGCGAAAUGCGAUAAGUAAUGUGAAUUGCAGAAUUCAGUGAAUCAUCGAAUCUUUGAACGCACCUUGCGCUCCCUGGUAUUCCGGGGAGCACGCCCGUUUGAGUGUCAUGGUAUUCUCAACCUUCCUCACUUUUGUGACUGGAAGGCUUGGAUGUGGAGGUCGUGCGGGCUCUCGCGAGUCGGCUCCUCUGAAAUGCAUUAGCGUGAACGUUUACGGAUCGCUAUCAGUGUGAUAAUUAUCUGCGCUGUUAGUGUUGAAGUAUUGCUUAGUGUCGCGCUUCUAACCGUCCUUCAGUUGGACAACUUAUCUGACAUCUGGCCUCAAAUCGGGCGGGACUACCCGCUGAACUUAAGCAUAUCAAUAAGGCGGAGGAAA
rnacentral:rRNA from 1 species